CGAACGCUGGCGGCAGGCCUAAUACAUGCAAGUCGAACGGCUCUUCGGAGCAGUGGCGGACGGGUGAGUAACGCGUGGGAAUGUGCCCUUUGGUACGGAACCACACAGGGAAACUUGUGCUAAUACCGUAUGUGCCCUUCGGGGGAAAGGCUUAUUGCCAUUGGAGCAGCCCGCGUUGGAUUAGGUAGUUGGUGAGGUAAAGGCUCACCAAGCCUACGAUCCAUAGCUGGUCUGAGAGGAUGACCAGCAACACUGGGACUGAGACACGGCCCAGACUCCUACGGGAGGCAGCGGUAGUGAAUCUUGCGCAAUGGGCGAAAGCCUGACGCAGCCAUGCCGCGUGUACGAUGAAAGUCUUAGGAUUGUAAAAUACUAUCACCGGGGAAGAUAAUGACGGUACCCGGAGAAGAAGCCCCGGCUAACUUCGUGCCAGCCGCCGCAGUAAAAC
rnacentral:rRNA from 1 species